rnacentral:tRNA from 1 species
CCGGUGCUGCGGCGGCGGGGGCGCCUGUCGCUGCGGGCGGCGGCGCAGGGGGUCCUCGUUCGGGUCGAGGUACUGGA